AUUGAACGCUGGCGGCAGGCCUAACACAUGCAAGUCGAACGAGCGGCGGACGGGUGAGAAAUGUAUGGGGACACCCAGAUAGAGGGGGAUAACUACUGGAAAAGGUAGCUACUACCGCAUCCUAUCGGAUAAACCCUAUGGGAUUAGCUAGUGGGUGCGGUAAUGGCUAACCUAGGCGACGAUCCCUAGCUCGUCUGAGAGGAUGAGCAGCCACACUGGAACUGAGAAACGGCCCAGACUCCUAGGGAGGCAGCAGUGGGGAAUAUUGGACAAUGGGGGAAAGCCUGAUGCAGCCAUGCGGCGUGGAUGAAGAAGGCCCUAGGGUUGUAAAGUACUUUCAGUCGGAAGGCGUUACCGGCAGAAGAAGCACCGGCUAACUCCGUGCCAGCAGCCGCGGUAAUUC
rnacentral:rRNA from 1 species